rnacentral:rRNA from 1 species
GACGAACGCUGGCGGCGUGCUUAACACAUGCAAGUCGAACGGAAAGGCCCUGCUUUUGUGGGGUGCUCGAGUGGCGAACGGGUGAGUAACACGUGAGUAACCUGCCCAUGACUUUGGGAUAACUUCAGGAAACUGGGGAUAAUACCGGAUAGGAGCUCCUGCUGCAUGGGGGGGGUUGGAAAGUUUCGGCGGUUGGGGAUGGACUCGCGGCUUAUCAGCUUGUUGGGUGGGUAGAGGCUUACCAAGGCUUUGACGGGUAGCCGGCAUGAGAGGGUAGACGGGCACAUGGGGACUGAGAGACGGACCAGACUCCUAUGGGAGGCAGCAGUGGGGAAUAUUGCACAAUGGGCGGAAGCCUGAUGCAGCAACGCCGCGUGCGGGAUGACGGCCUUCGUGUUGUAAACCGCUUUCGCCUGUGACGAAGCGUGAGUGACGGUAAUGGGUAAAGAAGCACCGGCUAACUACGUG